UAGGAAGCGGUAGUGACUGUCUCGGCCAAUAGCAACAUCAAAGAAGCGUCACUACAACUCCCAUGACCCCACUGCAUAGCUUUUCAUAGCUGGGAAUUAUGGGAAAUGGAGUUCAAGUUUUUCUAGUCCUUGCUUCAGGUCCAUCAUGCCUUGUAUGUGACUUCCCUUCAACCAUCCAAGGUCAGCCACCAUGAGAAUUCCAGGAAUAUGAGCUUUAGUUUCCCUGUGGAAAGGAAAAGGAGACGCCACCCCAGGACAAGAUGAGGCAAGAUGGAUCUGCCUGCGGCAUCGCAAAAAUAGAAGACCUGCCCUAUUGUUUGCCAGGAAUGUGCAGUCUUCCCGAGUGGCUCCAAAGUUUCAUUUCUUAAAAAAAUUUAAUUUUCCUGUGCCAUAGGAAAGUGAAUGCAAUCUAUUGCUCCUUGAUAUCAGCCACUUCAAGUCUGGGGAGAAGCGGACCGUAUUGCGCUGCAAAGUGUUACCUGACACGUGUUGCGCAGAAAUGAAUACAUGGGCAGUGCGGUGGUAAUUCCAGCCCUGGACACAAGGAGUUACAGGAUCAGCCCAAGGAAGCAGUCACGGGUAUAGCAUGAGCUCUGGAGUCACAGGGAGGACACAGUCACAUUUUUGGAGCAUGGGAGGGAGAAGAGAAGAAAAAAAAAAAAGGAGUAAACACGAGAAGAGGAAAGAUAGAACAAAGAGAGAAGCUUAUCUGGAAAAAAAAGUGCAGGAAUAAUGUGAUAUCUCCUGACAAUGUGCUCAUUGUGGUUACUUAGCUGUGAAGGUUGUGUGUCCCAGCUCUGUUAUGUAAUUCCUGUUUGUGUGGGGAGGGGGGGGGGGGGUCACAGGUCAUGUGGGUUCUGUGAUGAUCUAUAAAGGGUAAACGCGCAUGAAAUCUGCAGCAAAUAUGCAUUUUGGGGCAGAUUUUUAAACCAGUUGCAGAUUUGGUGUGAAAUUGGCCUGCUGCAAAUUUAGGGUAGGGUUACAGGUAGCACAUCCGCAGCGACAUAAGCUGUUUGGGUUUUUUAAGGGUAUGGAUAUGCGUAGUACAUUCGAAGCAAAAAAUCUGCAAACUGCAGGUUUGUAUUAGUCUAAAAAUUUUACUCAUCACUGUCGAGUGCAGUGUUUCCCAAUCAGUGUGUUCCCAGCCAAAGGCUGUCCGGGCAUGCUGGGAGUUGUAGUUUUGCAACAGCUGGAGGCAACCUGGUUUGGAAACCCUGCUCUAGAUUAUUGGCUGGUACCACAAAAUCCUGCCACUCUUAGUUUAAAGUGUACCUGUCUUUAGCAAAAACUUUUGGUAUAAAAUAUAGACAAUAACACUAUGUAUAUUUGUAAUAUACAUUGGUUAAAAAAAAUGUAUAUUUUUGUCCCUGUAGCUAUUGUCUGUGUGAGGAGAAGACCAAAUACAGGAAGUGUGGGCGGACAAGCAGGGCUCUGUGCACCGAGGACAAGCAGGGCUCUGUGCACCGAGGACAAGCAGGGCUCUGUGCACCGAGGGCAAGCAGGGCUCUGUGCACCGAGGGCAAGCAGGGCUCUGUGCACCGAGGGCAAGCAGGGCUCUGUGCACCGAGGGCAAGCAGGGCUCUGUGCACCGAGGGCAAGCAGGGGUCUAUGCACUGACGACAAGUAGGGUUCUGUGCAGUGAGACUGUGACAUACAACCCCCCCCCACAGCAGGAUGAUUGACAAACCAGGAGCCUGCGCAGAGCCCUGCUUGUCCCGUUCUCACUUCCUGUAUUUGGACUUUUUACAGACACACACAGGCAAAAGCUGCAGGGACAGUAUUUUUUCCAAAAAAUAUAAAACAUUUUAAACCAAUGUAUAUUACAAAUAAACCUGUAAUGGUAUUAUAUAAAAGGUUUUUGCUACUGACAGGUACAAUUUAAUGAAAAGUAAAGUUCUUCUCAUUCUUCUGUUUUUAGCUUUGCAACUCCACAAAAAAUAUUGCAGUUCCUUAUUAGAAAUAACUUGCAGACUGUCACAUGCCAAAUUUUAUUCUUCUUCUAUUAAAUAAAUCCAUAUAUUCAAAUCAUUAAUGACCUAACAGGUCCCAUUGGUGCCAAAAUAAAGGAAUUUUACUAUAUACACACACAUGCCACUUUAGGAUAAAUGCACACUGUUAUGCUGCUGAUUUUCCACAUAGAAAUUUGCAUGGCAAAUCUGCUGGAAUUCUAGCACCAGUAAGAUAAAUAUACUCAUUUAAGACUCAUCUAUAUGCAAUAAAAAAACAUUUAGACUUAAAAAAAACUCUGUACUGCAGGUUAGUUUCAAUCUGCAGAAUGUCAAUUAUUGUUGCAAAUUUUCUUUGGUUAAAGGAGAUCAUGGAGAAAAACAUAUCCCCUACCAAA